UCAUUUCUUGUGUAAUGACGUGU
rnacentral:snRNA from 1 species